rnacentral:rRNA from 1 species
GACAGAGGUCCCGAGCGUUAGGCGGAAUCACUGGGCUUAAAGCGUGUGUAGGCGGAUGCCUAAGUACCUUGUGAAAUCCCACGGCUCACCCGUGGAACUGCUUGGUAUACUGGGUGUCUUGAGCCACUUAGGGGCUACCGGAACAAAUGGUGGAGCGGUGAAAUGCGUAGAUAUCAUGUGGAACGCCAAUGGUGAAAACAGGUAGCUGGGAGUGUGCUGACGCUGAGACACGAAAGCCAGGGGAGCAAACGGG